UGGGGAAUAUUGGACAAUGGGGGCAACCCUGAUCCAGCAAUGCCGCGUGUGUGAAGAAGGCCUGCGGGUUGUAAAGCACUUUCAGCAGCCAAGAAAAGCUCAAGGCCAAUACCCUUGAGUCUUGACGUUAACUGCAGAAGAAGCACCGGCUAACUCCGUGCCAGCAGCCGCGGUAAUACGGAGGGUGCAAGCGUUAAUCGGAAUUACUGGGCGUAAAGCGCGCGUAGGCGGUUUGGUAAGUCGGAUGUGAAAGCCCCGGGCUCAACCUGGGAAUUGCAUUCGAUACUGCCUGACUAGAGUAUGGUAGAGGGAAGUGGAAUUCCGGGUGUAGCGGUGAAAUGCGUAGAUAUCCGGAGGAACACCAGUGGCGAAGGCGACUUCCUGGACCAAUACUGACGCUGAGGUGCGAAAGCGUGGGGAGCAAACA
rnacentral:rRNA from 1 species